GUUGGAUUUUAUGCAGCUCUCGCAAGCGAUUUAAGUGCAGGCAUGAGAUGAGCGACGAGACAGCAGAGGAAUUUUUAAAAUAAAAUAAAUAUAUAUUUUUUUAAUUUUAUAUUUAAAAAUAUAUAUUUUUUAUCUAUACUUAUAAAAAAAAGUCUCAAUAUCUCUAUUUUAAAAUAUCUCUCUCCAUACUAUACCGGGUCCAUAUGACAGAUAGAAAUAUCUAUCUUUUUAAUUCUUUAGUCUUGUUUUCACUUUCUUUCACCUUUUCAAUAUACGAAAAAAAGAGUUAGCUAGGAAAAGAUGCAAGAAUCAGAAGACUAUGCAGAG
rnacentral:lncRNA from 1 species